rnacentral:lncRNA from 1 species
AAUUAGGGCCAUUGGCCAAUGGGAAGCAUAGGAAAAUAUUUGGGGAAUUCAGCAUACCAAACUAUGUCACAUAUAUACAUGUCCAACUUCAAUAAUUCACACAUAACUAACCAUAGGCUAAAAAAUUCCCAAACCUAUGUCAAAAAAUCCAGAAGGAUGUCAUGAAUCAAUGUUUCAAAUUUCAAUUAAUUUGGAUUAAGCAUGUGGAUUAUAGAAUUAAAAUGGCAAAGUAUAUGGAAAUAAUACACAUUAAUA